rnacentral:lncRNA from 1 species
CCUGCAUCUCAAGGGCACUCUAUCUAAUUUUCUUUGGAAAAACACGAAACAUAAGGAAAAUGGGUUGCAUGAAAGAGAGACGAUUUUUAUUUUGGUGUAUAGAACUAGUUCCCAGGGGAAGGGGCUCCGGUAAUCCAGAGUUCGGCCGCGAGGUAAGUAAAGCCUUGUCAAGAAUUGUUUCCACCAUGAAUCGAACUCGGGUUCUCCCGAACGAUUCAUCUUAGGGGGAGCUCAUUAAUUACUUGAGCCCAAUGUCUUGGUUAAAAUUAAAGAAACUAUUCAGAAUAAGGUUACAUUUUUCAAGUUAUGAGGGAAUUUAGAAAAUGAUAGCCAUAUAUAGGCAAGUGCUACAAUUUUGUGAAGGCAGGUGAGUUUGUGGAUGGUGUGAAGAAGAAUGUUGGAAGUGAGUUUCAAACUCUUUCGCUGUCCGAGUUUGUUGAAUGGAAUCGGUUCGAACAUUUGAAGGUAACUCAAAUCAAUUGCUUUUUAAUGAGAUUUUGUUGUUUAAUUUCAUUAGUGACAUGACAAACAAAUUGUUUGGGUUUGAUUGUUGGAUUUAGUGUUAGUUUAUUCAUAGGAAAUAAGGUUACAUUUUUCAUGUUAUGAGGGAAUUACAAGAUUACGGUCUCAGGAACUACAGCAACUUAUAGCUGCCCUUCUCGAGUUCAUGGCUGUUUG